rnacentral:rRNA from 1 species
GCUUACAGCCACCAGCCUGGUUCACGCCCGAUCUCGUUUGAUCUCGGAAGCUAAGAUAGGUUGGGCCUGGUUAGUACUUGGAUGUGAGACCGCCUGGGAAUACCAGUUGCUGUAAGCU